rnacentral:rRNA from 1 species
UACGGAGGAGGCAAGCGUUAUCCGGAUUCACUGGGUUUAAAGGGUGUGUAGGCGGGUAUUUAAGUCAGUGGUGAAAUCUCCGAGCUCAACUCGGAAACUGCCAUUGAUACUAUUUAUCUUGAAUAUUGUUGAGGUAGGCGGAAUAUGUCAUGUAGCGGUGAAAUGCUUAGAUAUGACAUAGAACACCGAUUGCGAAGGCAGCUUGCUAAACAAUUAUUGACGCUGAGGCACGAAAGCGUGGGGAUCAAACCGG